CCUACGUGUGGCAGCAGUGAGGAAUAUUGGUCAAUGGGCGCUAGCCUGAACCAGCCAAGUAGCGUGAAGGAUGAAUGCUCUAUGGGUUGUAAACUUCUUUUAUAUGGGCAUCACGUGCAGUGUGUAUACUGCUUUGAAUGUACCUUAUGAAUAAGGAUCGGCUAACUCCGUGCCAGCAGCCGCGGUAAUACGGAGGAUCCGAGCGUUAUCCGGAUUUAUUGGGUUUAAAGGGAGCGUAGGCGGGUGGUUAAGUCAGUUGUGAAAGUUUGCGGCUCAACCGGUAGAUUGCAGUUGGUACUGGCAUCCUUGAGUACAGUAGAGGUAGACGGAAUUCGUGGUGUAGCGGUGAAAUGCUUAGAGAUCAGGAAGAACUCCGGUUGCGAAGGCAGCCUGCUGGACUGUAACUGACGCUGAUGCUCGAAAGUGUGGGUAGCAAACAGGAUUAGAUACCCCUGUAGUC
rnacentral:rRNA from 1 species